UUUAAGUUAAAAAGCUUAAAUUUUUAUUAAAGACGAGAAGACCCUAUAGAGUUUUAUAUAUUAUUAAUAUUUUAAAUAUUUAAGAAUUUAUAUUUUUGAGUUUUGAAUGUAUUUGAUUGGGGUGAUUAAAAAAUUAAUUGAACUUUUUUUUUCGUAAUCGUUGAUUUACGUUUGAAUUUUGAUCCUGUUUAUAUGAUUGAAAGAUUAAAUUACCUUAGGGAUAACAGCGUAAUUUUUUUGGAGAGUUCUUAUCGAUAAAAAAGUUUGCGACCUCGAUGUUGGAUUAAAAUUUAUUAUUGGCGUAGGUGUUAAUAGAUUAAGUCUGUUCGACUUUUAAAAUUUUACAUGAUCUGAGUUUAAACCGGCGUGAGCCAGGUUGGUUUCUAUCUUAA
rnacentral:rRNA from 1 species